UUUUGCCAAAAUAUUGCUCCCUUUCUUCGGUUAAUUUUAUUUGCUUUUCCCUGUUGCUCCCUUUUUUCAGGAUCUCAAAACUACAAUCAUUAUUUGACUAAGAGCCUUGUACCAUGUACCACUGACAGCAGAGCUGUAGGAGAACGCUGCUCGUCUGCUCAGAAAGCAGUCUGCUCCUGUUCUGAUUACAGCAAGGCGGAGAUAGUCCGGAGAGUUCAGUGGGAGCCCGGCAGCGAGAGCGGGAAUAUGGAGAGAUUCCAGGAGUAAAGCCACAUGAACAUGAGGGGGGGGGGAGAGAUGUUGGACGCGGAGUUAGUGGCUGGGAUCUAAUCCUCGUUGAAGCUGGAGUGCAUUUAGUGAGCCUCAGGCUUGGACUAAGCUAUAGCUUUCAGGCAUAGUUCCUAGCUAUGAGAUGUUUAGUCCCUGGACAGAUGCAAAUUCUGCAAUUUACAAGUGGCUAUUUUUGCAUGUAUCUGAAGAUGGAUGAAUGACGUACCCCAGAGUGCUCAAAGUGCAAGCAACAACACUGAAAAGCUCAGACCCUUCUCUUCACUACACCCACACGUCCAUAGCAACAACGCUGCCGUAUCUUAGUAACCAUAUUUACGCACGGAGGCAAAAGCAGGUGGGGAGAGAUCUGCUUUUCAACUACAACAAGGAGGCCUGAAGGUUUAUAUGAAGGGCUAGGAUCGAAGAGAGUGGAGAGCAGUAAAAAAGGACGACAACCAGGUGGCAGUAGCAACUGAUUAAUAAGUUCAAUGCCAGGCACCUCCCCCCCCCCUUUAUGAACUGGAGGACUGGGGUCACGACUGCGCCUGGGCUUCCCCCGCCUGCCGCCAACCAUGAGUCACACCGGCCCAUAGCCGGACUUCCUCCCACGCAGAGAAACCCGACCCCGUCGGUAUGCCUCAGCAGCCCUGCCGCUUCCAGGGAAGCCCUGUGGCGCGUCAGGGAGAAUCACACCAGCGAUCCGUCAGUGCAAUGAGAAGCAUUCACCCCCAUCGUCGUGGUGAAACCCAAACGGCCUGCAAACGAACUACACAACCGCCAAGGUGUAAAGCUGACAGAUUUGGGCUCUCAUGAUCAUUUUUUUGCUUAAAUCAGUGUUUUCCAAUCCGGUCCUCCGGGACACGCAGAUGGUCCACGUCUUCGCUCCCUCCCAGCUCCCAGUAAAUGUGGACUGUCUGGCAGGGAGCUGGGAGAGAGCAAACACAUGGACUGUCUGUGGGUGCCCGAGGACCGGGUUGGGAAACACUGGCUUGAAUGCUUAUCUAAGUAGGUCAUAUGUGGGAAAACUAGAGUUGCAGAAAGAGAGGAAGCAGCAGGGAAGGAGACAGGGAUGCUGGUACAGGCUCACUCCUCUGCCUGGUCCCUGACUCUGACUGAACAGGCCGUCUGGGUACGGUGGGUCAAGAAGGCCCCAUCUGCAGAAGGCCAGCUAUUCGGCGCCACUUACCGUUACAUGUGAUGCCAUCAGAGGCCAGUUCAUAGCCCUGCUGACAGCGGCACAGGAAGGUGCCGUACGUGUUAUAACAUCUCUGUUGACAGGGGGCUCCCAUUUCACACUCAUUCACAUCUGGGGGGGGGGGGGGGGGGGAUAAAAUAAACCAUCACAAACUACAAACGAAAUAUUUGUGGUCUAAUAAAACUAUUUUGUUUACUGUGAAUAUAUAUAUUUCACUGAAAAGCAGAAAAACUGAGAAAUUUUUGCCACACAUCAACACAAUUGUUUAUUGCUAUUGUCGAAGUGAAAUCAAGAACAAUAAAAUGUAAUCGUCACAUA